GGUUCCUUGAGAACUGCAAAAAGACGCGAGGGUGAAUGACUUGACCGCUAAGAGACACGAGGGCGGGCAGACGCCUUUACAAAAGCGAAAAUGGCCAAGGAUAGUUACAACCUGGCAGAGGUGCGAGAUACGUGACACUUGCGAAUAAUGGGGCUAGCGGUGAUAUGCAACUGUGAGCAGAGGUGCAUGAUUUUCGCUGACAACUAAUCAUAAAGACAGGUGGUGCUUAGCAGAUGGCGCAAAUAGAUAUAAACGUCAAUUAGAUCUGACAGUUGAAGAGACAAAGCAGCAUGACAGGCGCGCAUGGUAGCUGCAGCAGGGAGAGGGGUGGUAUCUAACGUGCAUGAACACUGGAAGACACUAGCAAUGAUGAUAGGGUGGCGUGUGGCAAAAUAAUCAGCGGUGUAGCCAUUAUCGCAGUAGCAACUUCCUGUUUCCCGACAGCGUCGCUUCGGGUCGACUGCAGGCGCCAUCUUGCAGGAAAAACUACAAAAUAUUAUGCAACGAGGCUACAUGGCCAUCACAUUCAGAAUCAUAUUAUUUCUCUACAAGAAAAUCUGCACUUUAUGUAUGGAACUGGAUGAAACAAUGAACGAGGAAGGAGCAGUCAGGGAUAUUAAGUUGGUUUCCACUUGAAUAAUGAGUGUUUGGACAGUUAACGGAAUAUUGGAAGUUAAUAUUAAUUACUAAACGGUCGUUAGCGCCAUGAAUAAUUGCAGUUGGCAGUCAGUAACGUGUUGCACGACCAUAAAGAAUUAAAAAAAAAAAAAAAAAAAAAAAAAAAAAAAAAAAAAAAAA